rnacentral:rRNA from 1 species
UUAAAGUUGUUGCAGUUAAAAAGCUCGUAGUUGAACCUUGGGCCUGGCUGGCCGGUCCGCCUCACCGCGUGCACUGGUCCGGCCGGGCCUUUCCUCCUGGGGAGCCGCAUGCCCUUCACUGGGUGUGUCGGGGAACCAGGACUUUUACUUUGAAAAAAUUAGAGUGUUCAAAGCAGGCAUAUGCCCGAAUACAUUAGCAUGGAAUAAUA